rnacentral:tRNA from 1 species
GCCGGGGUGGCCGAGUGGUUUAAGGCGGCGGCCUGCUAAGCCGUUGGGGGUAACCCCGCCUGGGUUCGAAUCCCAGCCCCGGCG